rnacentral:tRNA from 1 species
GCUCCCGUGGUGUAGUCGGUUUAUCACCUCGUACUUAUAUGGAUUUCUGUCCUUAUGCCAUGCGAAGGUCGCGAGUUCGAGCCUCGCCGGGAGCA